rnacentral:rRNA from 1 species
AGCGGGGAAAGAAGACCCUGUUGAGCUUGACUCUAGUCUGACUCUGUGAAAAAACAUGAGAGGUGUAGAAUAAGUGGGAGGAGCAAUCCGCCGGUGAAAUACCACUACUCUUAUCGUUUUUUUACUUAUUCGGUGAAGCGGAGCUGGACCUCAACGUCCACUUUUUAGCAUUAAGAUCGCUCUUCUGCCGGUCGAUCCGAGCCGAAGACACUGUCAGGUUGGGAGUUUGGCUGGGGCGGCACGACUGUCAAAUGAUAACGCAGGUGUCCUAAGGUGAGCUCAAUGAGAACGGAAAUCUCAUGGAGAACAAAAGGGUACAAGCUCACUUGAUUUUGAUUUUCAGUAUGAAUACAAACUGUGAAAGCAUGGCCUAUCGAUCCCUUAGUCUUUACGAGUUUUAAGCUAGGGGUGUCAGAAAAGUUACCACAGGGAUAACCCAAGACUACCAACGUCACCAGUUCACGCCCAACCCUUCCCACCCUGCU